rnacentral:misc_RNA from 1 species
AAGUCGUAACAAGGUUUCCGUAGGUGAACCUGCGGAAGGAUCAUUAACACGUAUCCAACGUUAAAACCCCCCCGUGAACCUUCAGUGUGCUCGUACGCUUUGUUAGAAAGUAGCAAUCCCUGGUAAAUCAUCGCCGAACAGUUUUGAUUCAGGGACUUCUGCGAAGUGGCCUGGCAUCCUUGUCUGAAAGUGUCAAGGGUGGCGCAGUCACGAUCGCUAGAGGCCGACACGGCCGGCGACCGGGUCACCGGGCUCACGCCCCUUAAUAACCUUUGCAUGAAAACGGGCCUGCGCUUAAUUGUGCGGCCAUAAACCGAACAACUGUUAACAAUGGAUAUCUUGGUUCUC